AUGGUGGACAGAGCUUGGAACAGACUAGUCAACCACUCUUGUGCUUUCGUCAGGCUGAAGCUGAAAUUCUUGAGGACGGCAAAAGAUCUGAAAAUUUGGAGCAAGACACAUUUCAGUGAUGCAAGACUGCAGUUCCACAUUUCUUCUGAAAUCAUUCUUCGCCUUGACGUCGCUCAAGAGACCCGUUUGCUGACCAAGCUUGAGCUCGCGCCGAGGAAGAAACUGAAAACCAGACUGCUUGGACUCGCUGCUAUCGAGCGCAUCCGAAAGAGACAGACAUCCAGAGUUACAUGGCUGCAAGUGGCGGAUGCAAAUACAAAGUUUUUCAAUGCAAAGAUAAACUCAAGGCGUCACAAAAACUUCAUUGCUGCAUUGAAAACAAAUGAGGGAGUGUUCACGGCACAUGAAGACAAGGAAGAUUGCAUUUUCGAACACUUCAACAACCUGCUCAGAUCCAAGCAAGAUUGUUCAAAAAUGAUCAAUUGGAAUGAGCUCCACCUGCCAUCAAUUCAGGGUGGGGGCCUGGACAACCCU
rnacentral:rRNA from 1 species